UACAGAGGUGGCAAGCGUUGUUCGGAAUUACUGGGCGUAAAGGGCGCGUAGGCGGCCAUCUAAGUCAGACGUGAAAUCCCCCGGCUUAACCUGGGAACUGCGUCUGAUACUGGAAGGCUUGAGUAUGGGAGAGGGAUGUAGAAUUCCAGGUGUAGCGGUGAAAUGCGUAGAUAUCUGGAGGAAUACCGGUGGCGAAGGCGGCAUCCUGGACCAUUACUGACGCUGAGGCGCGAAAGCCAGGGGAGCAAACGGG
rnacentral:rRNA from 1 species